CUGAAGUUCAGGGCGUGACCCGGUGUAAACUCGGCGGUUAUCUUGCCCCGUUAUCUUUUGCAUACACACCUGACAUCUUUAACCAGGUAUAAGUAUUCCAUCCGAGUGAGCCACUGAUAAAUGCUGAUACUGUACUUAUCGCACGGUGAACGACUACCGGCUGUUACCGUUCGCCACCUCCACCUUACACCUUCCGUACCUUUAUUCCUGUAACGAUAGGAUUGGAACCGUCGAUGUGAAAUCAGCUGCAUUCUACAUAUAUCACUAGUUCGAUACUUCAAUCACCCUCGCAUGGCUUGCGAGGCGCGGAAGUCACAGUCGACGUUUGAUAAGCGUACGACUUUGAACCAUCGAUUAAAGCCACAUUGGACGGCUAUGCUGGACGGAAUUUCUUUAAUUAAGGAAUAAUCGCUCUGAUUAGAAAAAAUGCGUUGCAACGGCCAAAAAAGUAUUCCCACUACUUAAACGAACGA